AGAGUUUGAUCCUGGCUCAGGACGAACGCUGGCGGCGUGCCUAAUACAUGCAAGUCGUACGCUUCUUUUUCCACCGGAGCUUGCUCCACCGGAAAAAGAAGAGUGGCGAACGGGUGAGUAACACGUGGGUAACCUGCCCAUCAGAAGGGGAUAACACUUGGAAACAGGUGCUAAUACCGUAUAACAAUCGAAACCGCAUGGUUUUGAUUUGAAAGGCGCUUUCGGGUGUCGCUGAUGGAUGGACCCGCGGUGCAUUAGCUAGUUGGUGAGGUAACGGCUCACCAAGGCUACGAUGCAUAGCCGACCUGAGAGGGUGAUCGGCCMCAUUGGGACUGAGACMCGGCCCAAACUCCUACGGGAGGCAGCAGUAGGGAAUCUUCGGCAAUGGACGAAAGUCUGACCGAGCAACGCCGCGUGAGUGAAGAAGGUUUUCGGAUCGUAAAACUCUGUUGUUAGAGAAGAACAAGGAUGAGAGUAACUGUUCAUCCCUUGACGGUAUCUAACCAGAAAGCCACGGCUAACUACGUGCCAGCAGCCGCGGUAAUACGUAGGUGGCAAGCGUUGUCCGGAUUUAUUGGGCGUAAAGCGAGCGCAGGCGGUUUCUUAAGUCUGAUGUGAAAGCCCCCGGCUCAACCGGGGAGGGUCAUUGGAAACUGGGAGACUUGAGUGCAGAAGAGGAGAGUGGAAUUCCAUGUGUAGCGGUGAAAUGCGUAGAUAUAUGGAGGAACACCAGUGGCGAAGGCGGCUCUCUGGUCUGUAACUGACGCUGAGGCUCGAAAGCGUGGGGAGCAAACAGGAUUAGAUACCCUGGUAGUCCACGCCGUAAACGAUGAGUGCUAAGUGUUGGAGGGUUUCCGCCCUUCAGUGCUGCAGCUAACGCAUUAAGCACUCCGCCUGGGGAGUACGACCGCAAGGUUGAAACUCAAAGGAAUUGACGGGGGCCCGCACAAGCGGUGGAGCAUGUGGUUUAAUUCGAAGCAACGCGAAGAACCUUACCAGGUCUUGACAUCCUUUGACCACUCUAGAGAUAGAGCUUCCCCUUCGGGGGCAAAGUGACAGGUGGUGCAUGGUUGUCGUCAGCUCGUGUCGUGAGAUGUUGGGUUAAGUCCCGCAACGAGCGCAACCCUUAUUGUUAGUUGCCAUCAUUCAGUUGGGCACUCUAGCAAGACUGCCGGUGACAAACCGGAGGAAGGUGGGGAUGACGUCAAAUCAUCAUGCCCCUUAUGACCUGGGCUACACACGUGCUACAAUGGGAAGUACAACGAGUCGCGAAGUCGCGAGGCUAAGCUAAUCUCUUAAAGCUUCUCUCAGUUCGGAUUGUAGGCUGCAACUCGCCUACAUGAAGCCGGAAUCGCUAGUAAUCGCGGAUCAGCACGCCGCGGUGAAUACGUUCCCGGGCCUUGUACACACCGCCCGUCACACCACGAGAGUUUGUAACACCCGAAGUCGGUGAGGUAACCUUUUGGAGCCAGCCGCCUAAGGUGGGAUAGAUGAUUGGGGUGAAGUCGUAACAAGGUAGCCGUCG
rnacentral:rRNA from 1 species